UGGGCAUGGGUAGCGUUGUUAGCAGAGUGGAAGAGCACCAAGAUGAAAAUAACGACAACGACAAUGAUGAUGGCGAGAAUGACGACCAUCGUGAGACCAUAUAUAUGGUUUCAUUUGAUUGAAUCAAUGAUUUAGCAAUUUGGUUACGCGGAGUCUGUUGUGGUGGGGUUGAUUCCGUGCCACCAAAAGAGAUUUGGCUAUAGAUCCCAUGAGUUGGAAGAAUAUUGUAUCAAGCUGAAAGGAUGUACUUCAAGCAUUGAUUUAUCAGCUGACAUAGCUCUUCCACAAAGCAUGGGAUCUACCAACAGUGGAAUAAUCUCUUGAUUGGUGUACAUGUUGGCCAAGAACCAACCUGCCUGCAGGCUACAAGAACCUUAUGAAAGGAACCGAGUCUGAUGCAUUUGGGGUGGCUGAAUCCUUUCUUGUCUAUUAAACAUAGUGGAGUAUUUUUGCUCAUUGUAUUCCCAAAAGUACACUACUGAUGAGUAAACCCCUUGAUGUAAUUUUCACUUCUACCUCUCCCCUUGAUAUGGGAUAGUUCAUCUUUUAGUUCAAAUAGGGGAGAAUGUA